rnacentral:lncRNA from 1 species
UAUGUGGAGACAUAUAUGUAGAUGUGUGUGUAUAUGUUGCGAGCAAUAAUAGCACUGGCAAACAUGAUGGGAUUAGAUGUGAAAUGCCGAGGCAUUAAAUAGGACUGGCAUGACCAUCAUAUUCAUAUUCAUAUUCAUAUUCAUACACUCUCGUAAAAUAUGAAAAAGGCAAAAGAAGUUUGCACAGGCAGGACCGAGCAAAAGAUUUUAAUGGCGGGAUGCAGACAUUGCCAUUUUCAUGGCCACUGAUUUUGACAAGCUAUGCAAAGACAUACCUUCUCUCU